AAAUUGAAGAGUUUGAUCAUGGCUCAGAUUGAACGCUGGCGGCAGGCCUAACACAUGCAAGUCGAACGGUAGCACAGAGGAGCUUGCUCCUUGGGUGACGAGUGGCGGACGGGUGAGUAAUGUCUGGGAA
rnacentral:rRNA from 1 species